AUUGAACGCUGGCGGCAUGCUUUACACAUGCAAGUCGAACGGUAACAGGCCGCAAGGUGCUGACGAGUGGCGAACGGGUGAGUAAUGCAUCGGAACGUGCCCAGUCGUGGGGGAUAACGCAGCGAAAGCUGUGCUAAUACCGCAUACGAUCUAUGGAUGAAAGCGGGGGACCGUAAGGCCUCGCGCGAUUGGAGCGGCCGAUGUCAGAUUAGGUAGUUGGUGGGGUAAAGGCUCACCAAGCCAACGAUCUGUAGCUGGUCUGAGAGGACGACCAGCCACACUGGGACUGAGACACGGCCCAGACUCCUACGGGAGGCAGCAGUGGGGAAUUUUGGACAAUGGGCGCAAGCCUGAUCCAGCAAUGCCGCGUGCAGGAAGAAGGCCUUCGGGUUGUAAACUGCUUUUGUACGGAACGAAAAGGUCUGGGUUAAUACCCUGGGCUGAUGACGGUACCGUAAGAAUAAGCACCGGCUAACUACGUGCCAGCCGCCGCAGUAA
rnacentral:rRNA from 1 species